GCUAAACGCGAAGAACCUUACCAGGCCUUGACAUGCAGAGAACUUUCCAGAGAUGGAUUGGUGCCUUCGGGAACUCUGACACAGGUGCUGCAUGGCUGUCGUCAGCUCGUGUCGUGAGAUGUUGGGUUAAGUCCCGUAACGAGCGCAACCCUUGUCCUUAGUUACCAGCACGUCAUGGUGGGCACUCUAAGGAGACUGCCGGUGACAAACCGGAGGAAGGUGGGGAUGGACGUCAAGUCAUCAUGGCCCUUACGGCCUGGGCUACACACGUGCUACAAUGGUCGGUACAGAGGGUUGCCAAGCCGCGAGGUGGAGCUAAUCUCACAAAACCGAUCGUAGUCCGGAUCGCAGUCUGCAACUCGACUGCGUGAAGUCGGAAUCGCUAGUAAUCGCGAAUCAGAAUGUCGCGGUGAAUACGUU
rnacentral:rRNA from 1 species